CAGGUAUAUUAGGAGAUAAACAAACCAGAAAACAGGGACUGGUUGCAGAAAAAUAGCUGGGAUGUAAUCCCCUUAGUGUGCGAGUACAUUACAGUACAAAUAGAGGAAACCGGUCCACACCUUGUACAGUGCUGUCAGGAGUUGUUAGUAAUAGCUGCUAGUAUUGGAGUAGCUAAAGAGAACCUCAUAGCUAUUCUUGAACAGAUCGAUGGAUUCAGGUCUGUUUUAUUGGUCAGACGCGUUCUUCCUGCUCUUGGUAUUAUUUUACUGAAAAUCAAGGAAAA